rnacentral:rRNA from 1 species
UACGGGGGGGGCAAGCGUUGUUCGGAAUUACUGGGCGUAAAGGGCUCGUAGGUGGCCAACUAAGUCAGACGUGAAAUCCCUCGGCUUAACCGGGGAACUGCGUCUGAUACUGGAUGGCUUGAGUUCGGGAGAGGGAUGCGGAAUUCCAGGUGUAGCGGUGAAAUGCGUAGAUAUCUGGAGGAAUACCGGUGGCGAAGGCGGCAUCCUGGACCGGCAUUGACGCUGAGUGAGCGAAAGCCAGGGGAGCAAACGGG